rnacentral:rRNA from 1 species
AGCGUACACGGUGGAUGCCCUGGCAGUCAGAGGCGAUGAAGGACGUGCUAAUCUGCGAUAAGCGUCGGUAAGGUGAUAUGAACCGUUAUAACUGGCGAUUUCCGAAUGGGGAAACCCAGUGUGAUUCGUCACACUAUCAUUAACUGAAUCCAUAGGUUAAUGAGGCGAACCGGGGGAACUGAAACAUCUAAGUACCCCGAGGAAAAGAAAUCAACCGAGAUUCCCCCAGUAGCGGCGAGCGAACGGGGAGCAGCCCAGAGCCUGAAUCAGUGUGUGUGUUAGUGGAAGCGUCUGGAAAGGCGCGCGAUACAGGGUGACAGCCCCGUACACAAAAAUGCACAUGCUGUGAGCUCGAUGAGUAGGGCGGGACACGUGGUAUCCUGUCUGAAUAUGGGGGGACCAUCCUCCAAGGCUAAAUACUCCUGACUGACCGAUAGUGAACCAGUACCGUGAGGGAAAGGCGAAAAGAACCCCGGCGAGGGGAGUGAAAAAGAACCUGAAACCGUGUACGUACAAGCAGUGGGAGCACGCUUAGGCGUGUGACUGCGUACCUUUUGUAUAAUGGGUCAGCGACUUAUAUUCUGUAGCAAGGUUAACCGAAUAGGGGAGCCGAAGGGAAACCGAGUCUUAACUGGGCGUUAAGUUGCAGGGUAUAGACCCGAAACCCGGUGAUCUAGCCAUGGGCAGGUUGAAGGUUGGGUAACACUAACUGGAGGACCGAACCGACUAAUGUUGAAAAAUUAGCGGAUGACUUGUGGCUGGGGGUGAAAGGCCAAUCAAACCGGGAGAUAGCUGGUUCUCCCCGAAAGCUAUUUAGGUAGCGCCUCGUGAAUUCAUCUCCGGGGGUAGAGCACUGUUUCGGCAAGGGGGUCAUCCCGACUUACCAACCCGAUGCAAACUGCGAAUACCGGAGAAUGUUAUCACGGGAGACACACGGCGGGUGCUAACGUCCGUCGUGAAGAGGGAAACAACCCAGACCGCCAGCUAAGGUCCCAAAGUCAUGGUUAAGUGGGAAACGAUGUGGGAAGGCCCAGACAGCCAGGAUGUUGGCUUAGAAGCAGCCAUCAUUUAAAGAAAGCGUAAUAGCUCACUGGUCGAGUCGGCCUGCGCGGAAGAUGUAACGGGGCUAAACCAUGCACCGAAGCUGCGGCAGCGACGCUGAUGCGUUGUUGGGUAGGGGAGCGUUCUGUAAGCCUGUGAAGGUGUGCUGUGAGGCAUGCUGGAGGUAUCAGAAGUGCGAAUGCUGACAUAAGUAACGAUAAAGCGGGUGAAAAGCCCGCUCGCCGGAAGACCAAGGGUUCCUGUCCAACGUUAAUCGGGGCAGGGUGAGUCGACCCCUAAGGCGAGGCCGAAAGGCGUAGUCGAUGGGAAACAGGUUAAUAUUCCUGUACUUGGUGUUACUGCGAAGGGGGGACGGAGAAGGCUAUGUUGGCCGGGCGACGGUUGUCCCGGUUUAAGCGUGUAGGCUGGUUUUCCAGGCAAAUCCGGAAAAUCAAGGCUGAGGCGUGAUGACGAGGCACUACGGUGCUGAAGCAACAAAUGCCCUGCUUCCAGGAAAAGCCUCUAAGCAUCAGGUAACAUCAAAUCGUACCCCAAACCGACACAGGUGGUCAGGUAGAGAAUACCAAGGCGCUUGAGAGAACUCGGGUGAAGGAACUAGGCAAAAUGGUGCCGUAACUUCGGGAGAAGGCACGCUGAUAUGUAGGUGAAGUCCCUCGCGGAUGGAGCUGAAAUCAGUCGAAGAUACCAGCUGGCUGCAACUGUUUAUUAAAAACACAGCACUGUGCAAACACGAAAGUGGACGUAUACGGUGUGACGCCUGCCCGGUGCCGGAAGGUUAAUUGAUGGGGUCAGCGCAAGCGAAGCUCUUGAUCGAAGCCCCGGUAAACGGCGGCCGUAACUAUAACGGUCCUAAGGUAGCGAAAUUCCUUGUCGGGUAAGUUCCGACCUGCACGAAUGGCGUAAUGAUGGCCAGGCUGUCUCCACCCGAGACUCAGUGAAAUUGAACUCGCUGUGAAGAUGCAGUGUACCCGCGGCAAGACGGAAAGACCCCGUGAACCUUUACUAUAGCUUGACACUGAACAUUGAGCCUUGAUGUGUAGGAUAGGUGGGAGGCUUUGAAGUGUGGACGCCAGUCUGCAUGGAGCCGGCCUUGAAAUACCACCCUUUAAUGUUUGAUGUUCUAACGUUGACCCGUGAUCCGGGUUGCGGACAGUGUCUGGUGGGUAGUUUGACUGGGGCGGUCUCCUCCUAAAGAGUAACGGAGGAGCACGAAGGUUGGCUAAUCCUGGUCGGACAUCAGGAGGUUAGUGCAAUGGCAUAAGCCAGCUUGACUGCGAGCGUGACGGCGCGAGCAGGUGCGAAAGCAGGUCAUAGUGAUCCGGUGGUUCUGAAUGGAAGGGCCAUCGCUCAACGGAUAAAAGGUACUCCGGGGAUAACAGGCUGAUACCGCCCAAGAGUUCAUAUCGACGGCGGUGUUUGGCACCUCGAUGUCGGCUCAUCACAUCCUGGGGCUGAAGUAGGUCCCAAGGGUAUGGCUGUUCGCCAUUUAAAGUGGUACGCGAGCUGGGUUUAGAACGUCGUGAGACAGUUCGGUCCCUAUCUGCCGUGGGCGCUGGAGAACUGAGGGGGGCUGCUCCUAGUACGAGAGGACCGGAGUGGACGCAUCACUGGUGUUCGGGUUGUCAUGCCAAUGGCACUGCCCGGUAGCUAAAUGCGGAAGAGAUAAGUGCUGAAAGCAUCUAAGCACGAAACUUGCCCCGAGAUGAGUUCUCCCUGACUCCUUGA